AUUGGCUGAGAAAUUAAAAUAAUUCCACUGUUCAAUGUGUAUGAGGUUAAAAGAAAGCAGUAGAGUCCUGAGUGUAAACAGUGACCCCAACAAGAUGACAAGGGACCCAAAGGUUCUCUUUUGGGAUGGAACUGAACUUCUCCAUGCUUAUCCCUUCCUACACAGAAGUCUUUAUUGGUGGACCCCUUUUGUGGCAGACUAAUAUCCUGAUCUCAGAAGAGAAGGCCCACUUCAGUGAUUGCUGACGAUGGCCUGCUUCUGGUUUAGAUUUUGCAUUUUGAUGGAGUGGACCUUUUCUUCCUGGGUAGAUUCAUUCAUACCUUUGUCAAUCAAUCCUCUCCUACCUAUAAUUCUUAGACCAUCACCUCAGGGCUUUUUUCUUACAUGCACAAAUGCAGCUAGCUCUUUUAUACCCUCAACACUCACUGCAUAAUAGAAUGAUGAAAUAACAAGUAUGUAUAUGUUUGAGGAAAUGAUGAAAGAGGUAGAAUGAAUGAAUGAUAUAAAUAAAAUGGAGUUUGGUCCCUAAGCAAGCAAAGACAAAUUAGACAUUGUGUAGUACAUAACAUGUGCGGUGGGAAUCUACUUUUGCUUUUGUUUC